rnacentral:rRNA from 1 species
GAUGAACGCUGGCGGCGUGCCUAAUACAUGCAAGUCGAGCGAACGGACGAGAAGCUUGCUUCUCUGAUGUUAGCGGCGGACGGGUGAGUAACACGUGGAUAACCUACCUAUAAGACUGGGAUAACUUCGGGAAACCGGAGCUAAUACCGGAUAAUAUUUUGAACCGCAUGGUUCAAAAGUGAAAGACGGUCUUGCUGUCACUUAUAGAUGGAUCCGCGCUGCAUUAGCUAGUUGGUAAGGUAACGGCUUACCAAGGCAACGAUGCAUAGCCGACCUGAGAGGGUGAUCGGCCACACUGGAACUGAGACACGGUCCAGACUCCUACGGGAGGCAGCAGUAGGGAAUCUUCCGCAAUGGGCGAAAGCCUGACGGAGCAACGCCGCGUGAGUGAUGAAGGUCUUCGGAUCGUAAAACUCUGUUAUUAGGGAAGAACAUAUGUGUAAGUAACUGUGCACAUCUUGACGGUACCUAAUCAGAAAGCCACGGCUAACUACGUGCCAGCAGCCGCGGUAAUACGUAAGUGGCAAGCGUUAUCCGGAAUUAUUGGGGCGUAAAGCGCGCGUAGCGGUUUUUUAGUCUGAUGUGAAAGCCCACGGCUCAACCGUGGAGGGUCAUUGGAAACUGGAAAACUUGAGUGCAGAAGAGGAAAGUGGAAUUCCAUGUGUAGCGGUGAAAUGCGCAGAGAUAUGGAGGAACACCAGUGGCGAAGGCGACUUUCUGGUCUGUAACUGACGCUGAUGUGCGAAAGCGUGGGGAUCAAACAGGAUUAGAUACCCUGGUAGUCCACGCCGUAAACGAUGAGUGCUAAGUGUUAGGGGGUUUCCGCCCCUUAGUGCUGCAGCUAACGCAUUAAGCACUCCGCCUGGGGAGUACGACCGCAAGGUUGAAACUCAAAGGAAUUGACGGGGACCCGCACAAGCGGUGGAGCAUGUGGUUUAAUUCGAAGCAACGCGAAGAACCUUACCAAAUCUUGACAUCCUUUGACAACUCUAGAGAUAGAGCCUUCCCCUUCGGGGGACAAAGUGACAGGUGGUGCAUGGUUGUCGUCAGCUCGUGUCGUGAGAUGUUGGGUUAAGUCCCGCAACGAGCGCAACCCUUAAGCUUAGUUGCCAUCAUUAAGUUGGGCACUCUAAGUUGACUGCCGGUGACAAACCGGAGGAAGGUGGGGAUGACGUCAAAUCAUCAUGCCCCUUAUGAUUUGGGCUACACACGUGCUACAAUGGACAAUACAAAGGGCAGCGAAACCGCGAGGUCAAGCAAAUCCCAUAAAGUUGUUCUCAGUUCGGAUUGUAGUCUGCAACUCGACUACAUGAAGCUGGAAUCGCUAGUAAUCGUAGAUCAGCAUGCUACGGUGAAUACGUUCCCGGGUCU